rnacentral:lncRNA from 1 species
UAAGGUUUGGGAGACUGCAACCAAAAGAGGUUGGAGGUACAUACAGUGUCCAGGAGCUUUAUAGCAGGACAGGGAAAGGGCCCAGCAGGGAAACCGGAAGAGCUUACCUAAAGUACUCAACACUGAAAGGCUUCUUUAACCACCUUCCUGGCCGGAAAGACUGCAGGCAUCCAGCCAAUGAAAACUAGCUAUCCCCUCGCCUCUCCUCACACCAGUCCCUGGGGCAUCAANNNNNNNNNNNNNNNNNNNNNNNNNNNNNNNNNNNNNNNNNNNNNNNNNNNNNNNNNNNNNNNNNNNNNNNNNNNNNNNNNNNNNNNNNNNNNNNNNNNAUCAAAACAGCAACAGAGGGGGAGCAGAUGAAAAGCAGAGGCAAGUUCCUCUUCCUAUAUGAGGACUUCUGGAGACAGGUCCAAGCUGUGCAGGUGGGGCAGGAGAACUGCUCAUGGUGGUCCAGUCAAGACUUAAUAAAUAUUCUGGAGUGGAUAUUCUGAUUCCUGAGCCGACUUGUGUAACUGCUAGAGCCCAUGGGACUGUACUGCCUGAGGGUGAGCAUAAAAGCAGGGAGCUUUUCAGAACAGUCCUUCGGGGGCUAAGAGCUCCCCACCAAGUCACAUCUGAAUGUGGGUGAUGUGGUGUGCUCUCUCCCACACAAGUCCUGCUUCCUCCACAUACUGGCUAGAAAUCGGCACACUGGGAAUACACCCACAGUCAGAUGCUCCCUAACAACCAGAACAAAACGGUCCAGUGGGUUCUCCUCUCCAUUUCAAACAGGUGCAUUUGUCCUUCAUUAUCACCAUAUCCCCACCACAAACACACCACCUGAAGGCAGCUUUCUGAAGAGCAUUCAUGGAGACAGUUACCACCUGCAAUCAAGCGGGGAACUGAGGACUUUAAUCUCCCCAAACUGCUGUCAAACCCGACUUAGAAUAUGGACAUAAACCAUAUCCUACAGAAUAUGAUUUGGGGGUACCUCCCAGAAACCCUCCUGCUCCUAAAACUUCCCACCCCUCGUCUCUCUCAUCAGCCUGCCUCACUGCAGAAAUCUCAUGAUUUGUCAUAGCCACAUGUUUGAAUUAAACAUUCUGAGAAAGGUCAGGCAUUUUAUGUUCAACAUUCACACAUCAUUGUGACUUUUUAUAUUUCUCAACAUUUUAACAUAUGACUAUUAUUUAACAUUAUCACAAGUAUCAUGACUAAUACCAAGUAAUUUUAACACUGACUAUGCCUUUUAAAAAAAUACACAUGCCCUCCAGAACUUGUGAUUCUUCUAUCUCAGAUGGCUCACACACCCACCAAACCCCAACAUCUAGGCUGAGAACAUGGUUUAAGAAACAAAAAAAGUGAAGCUUAAUACUGGUUUGUCAGAGUGUAGCAGAAAAUGAGAGCAGGCUUGCUGAAGACUGUACCAAAAUAACGGGGUGUCACCAGGGAAAAGCGGUCUUAGGCCAAGGAGACGCAGGAGGCCAGUUGGGACCUUAGGGUUUAAUUUUCUAACUCCUGCUACAGAACUAUAAUUUUUUUCAAGAAGAUAGAGAAUGAUAUGUUUGGAUUCAAGACUGCAAAAUUUUCCUCAUAAAAUAACAUUCCAUCUAUUAUAUAACGUAUUGUUCAUCUACAAAGGUGUUUUAGAAAACCAGCUGGAGAUCAGAGCAGAGAGGAGGCAGCUUUGAAAUCAGAUAGUCCAGCACCUUUUAACAAGCUCCAUGACCCUGGGCACAUUCUUUAGCUCCUCUGGGACUCUCGUCUCAUCAGUAAAAAUGGAUAAAAAUAGAUACCCUGAAAGUCUGCUGAGAAGCUUCGACCAUCACUAGAAAAUGGGUCAAGCAUAGUGCAAUCCACACACUAGGUGCCUGAUGUCAUUUUCAGCCAUUUGUAUGAAGGAUCACAGAAGCUCUAUCUUCAGACUUGCAUACCAGGAGAAACAAAAAGAUGAGGGCUUAAGAACCCCAUAAGAGAAAAUAUAAGGUAAGCAGGGGUUUUCCCCACAGGCAUUGAUAAUGUUGUAGUCCGGCUGCCAUCUGCCUAGGGUGUAGCAGACCCAUGGGCGUAGGUCAGACAGUGUCACCCUCCACCCCCCCCACCACCCUCAGCAGGAGCUGCUUCACCUUUACUGUCUUGGCAUCCUAGGAGAAAAUCACCCCUGGAGAACCUGGGAUAACCUCAGCCCCACCUCAUCCAGGUCAACCCUGAAAGGAGUGGGGUGUAUGGGAAUCCACAAGGGCUGGGUAGCUGAAAAGGAAAAAGACAUGCAGAAAGGAAAUGGAAAAGCCCCCCAAAACUAUCCUUGUCAGUUUCGUAGUCCUCCCCAUCCCCACCACCAACCAGAGACAUGCAGAAUUAAUUAGAGUCACACAAAGCCAGUCUUGUCACACUCCAGGCUAGGAGCUGACAGGCUGUUAUCUGCACCAGCUGGCUCUUCGCUGGCACUAACAGGAAGGCGUCCUGCUAUCCCCCCAUCUUCCUUAUCAAUAGCCCCAGGCAGCAGCUGUAGCAACCCCAGCAGGAAGACUCCAGCCAGGCUUCUAAGGAGCCCAGGCGCUGCUGCAGCCUUCCUGUUUCUCGGGAUGAGAGCC